CGUAGGGCGCAAGCGUUAUCCGGAAUUAUUGGGCGUAAAGAGCUCGUAGGCGGUUUGUCGCGUCUAUCGUGAAAAGUCCGAGGCUCAACCUCGGAUCUGCGGUGGUACGGGCAGACUAGAGUGAUGUAGGGAGACUGGAAUUCCCGGUGUAGCGGUGAAAUGCGCAGAUAUCAGGAGGAACACCGAUGGCGAAGGCAGGUCUCUGGGCAUUAACUGACGCUGAGGAGCGAAAGCAGUGGGGAGCGAACAGGAUU
rnacentral:rRNA from 1 species